rnacentral:rRNA from 1 species
UACGAAGGGUGCAAACGUUGCUCGGAAUCAUUGGGCGUAAAGAGCGCGCAGGCGGCUUGGCAAGUCGGGCGUGAAAUCCCGGGGCUCAACCCCAGGACUGCAUUCGAUACUGUCAGGCUAGAGGUAGGUAGGGGAGAUCGGAAUUCCUGGUGUAGCGGUGAAAUGCGCAGAUAUCAGGAGGAACACCGGUGGCGAAGGCGGAUCUCUGGGCCUUACCUGACGCUCAGGCGCGAAAGCUAGGGGAGCGAACAGG